CCCCACCCACCCUGCAGGGAAAGACCCCCGACGCCACAGGGCCCCUCGGCCCUCCGGCCAAACCCGAUAAUCUCCCGCCUGAGGGUGGGGAACUCAACUCACCCCCGGGGUAAACUGGGGCGGUGCGGCAGCGUCCCUGAAGCUCUACAGGCCCCUUCCCCCUUUGCAAGAACCUGGCCCCUAGGGAAGCGCCCCGCCCCCACCCAUCCCCCUACCCCAGCCCAAACUGGGGGAGGAUGGUCCAGCCCAGAUCUCACAUGUCUUAAAGGGUAAAAUAGUCGGGGACAGACAGGUGGAGUUUCCAGAGCCUGCACCACCCGGGACACUGCUGGCAGCUCUCUAGGCCCUAGAGUCUGAGCUGACUCCGACUUUGGCUCACCGCUCUGCGGCCGGACGAUUGUAUGCCAUUCAAAAAGUCGGGAGUUGAAAGACAGCACGCAGCACCUUUGUCCCCCUCCCCGUUUUCCCGGCGCGCUGAAAAGAAAUGGGGCUGGGACUUAGGGGCGGGGGAGGGCUUCCAACUCGGUUUCUCUAUAUCCUCCACCACCUUAGAGCCCACCCUCCCCAAUGAGCGUUUUGUUCUACCCAGCCACGUGUUUGUCGGAUUUUUGUUUUUGUGAUUUUUUUUUCCCAUGGAACAACAAGAAUUAAAGUACUAGGAGCUAUUUGUUGUUGAGUAGAAAGAGAAUAUUUUCUGUCCAAGAAGGUGGGAGACAUCUGUGUCUCACCCCCACACACACACCUCCGACCCUCCCCCCUUAUCUGACUCUUAAUACUUAGCUGUUGGUCACAAGCAUUAUUUUUAAACAAACCAAUGAGUAGGAAACAGGCAUGCCACAUAGUAGGCACUCAAUAAACAUUUUUUUAAAUGAAAAACAAGCUAAUACAAACAGCACAGCAAAGAGAAUUGAUGAAAAUUAGAGUCCAGGGGGGAAAAAAUUAUCUUGGCCAGAACGUGUGGCUCUGUUGCCCGGGAACUUUUCUUGGUGAUGUGUGUAGACUUUUGAAAGGGCUAAAAGAUGGUCUCAAAAAGGCUGUUGUAUUUCUUGGCCUUUUCCUAAAGAGGAGCCCCAAUCUCCUUAAAUCUUUUCUGUUAUAUUGGGGAACAAGGAGGAGGGCAACUAGGCAGAUCAUCCCAGUUCCCAGAAACUUUAAGUGCUGUUUCUUUCAUUUAAUUUGAAUCUUUAGGUGCUAAUAAAAGCACUUCUCAGAUUGUCUCCCUGGGGGACAUAUCCACUACUCUGCCUCUGUAUGCCUAAAACAAAAGCAAGUUACACCCCAUAAAAAUCUCCAUCCAGACCUCUAAACUCCUAUAAAAUGCAGUCCACUUUUUACUAUCCUAGAGUCAAUGGGAAACAACAUUUUUAAAAAUAAUCAGUGAAUUCAGUUCACUUUCAGGUUGAUUUUUUUCCAUGUAAAAAUAUACUAACUAAAUGUUAGCUGAAAUCAGUUUUAAUGUAUUUAAGAUAACGUUAGAAGAGAAUAUAUAAAUUUCACUUGAACAAUCUGCUAUUUUUAAAUCCUUUUAAAUAUUUAAUUAAAAAUUACCAAUAAUUGCUAAAUUGAAACUGAUUAGUUCUUUUUAAAAAAUCAGCUGUUUUACUGAAUUCUAAUCCUCUCCACCCCCCAAAAAAAGGCUUAUGUGUGUAUAGUCAGAAGCUGCAAAGGCUGCAAGAAUACAAGAGAGGAGACAACAGGGGUGAGAUACAGAUCUUUUUAGCCCCCAAAUCAGUUUUGCCUUAGUGACCUGGCUAUUUUAGGCUGGGGUUGGGGGAACUAAAUCACAUUGAUUGGUGUUUCAUCUCUCCCUUUUGAAUGAGCCCAGCACUCACAUUAAGGGUUAUUUCUUAUCUAGACUGACAUUCCUAGGUUAGGGAUAAAAAUGGGCAGACUUGAGGUACCAUAACUUUUCAUCUUUCUUUUCUUUGUUUUUGUUAACAUUAAAGAUUACUAUCAAAU
rnacentral:lncRNA from 10 species